rnacentral:rRNA from 1 species
UACGUAGGGACCGAGCGUUGUCCGGAAUCAUUGGGCGUAAAGAGCUCGUAGGCGGUCUGUCGCGUCUGCUGUGAAAAUCCAGGGCUCAACCCUGGACCUGCAGUGGGUACGGGCAGACUAGAGUGCGGUAGGGGAGAUCGGAAUUCCUGGUGUAGCGGUGAAAUGCGCAGAUAUCAGGAGGAACACCGGUGGCGAAGGCGGAUCUCUGGGCCGUAACUGACGCUGAGGAGCGAAAGCAUGGGGAGCGAACAGG